GCCGGAGUAGCUCAGUUGGUUAGAGCAGCGGAUUCAUAAGCCGCGGGUCGGGGGUUCAAGUCCCUCCUCCGGUA
rnacentral:tRNA from 1 species